rnacentral:snoRNA from 1 species
AUUCUGCUAUGUUGACACCUUUGCGUUAUCUCCUUAAACCUCUCCCAAGCUUCAAACACAGUUUCAGUCUUGUUCUGGCAAAAGUUAUGGAUUUCUCUUCUAAACUU